rnacentral:rRNA from 1 species
CCUACGGGUGGCUGCAGUGGGGAAUAUUGGACAAUGGGCGAAAGCCUGAUCCAGCCAUGCCGCGUGUGUGAAGAAGGCCUUCGGGUUGUAAAGCACUUUCAGUGGGGAAGAAAGCCUUGGGGCUAAUACCCUCGAGGAAGGACAUCACCCACAGAAGAAGCACCGGCUAACUCCGUGCCAGCAGCCGCGGUAAUACGGAGGGUGUGAGCGUUAAUCGGAAUUACUGGGCGUAAAGCGCGCGUAGGCGGUCUGAUAAGCCGGUUGUGAAAGCCCCGGGCUCAACCUGGGAACGGCAUCCGGAACUGUCAGGCUAGAGUGCAGGAGAGGAAGGUAGAAUUCCCGGUGUAGCGGUGAAAUGCGUAGAGAUCGGGAGGAAUACCAGUGGCGAAGGCGGCCUUCUGGACUGACACUGACGCUGAGGUGCGAAAGCGUGGGUAGCAAACAGGAUUAGAUACCCCAGUAGUC